GAGCGGACAGAUGGGAGCUUGCUCCCUGAUGUUAGCGGCGGACGGGUGAGUAACACGUGGGUAACCUGCCUGUAAGACUGGGAUAACUCCGGGAAACCGGGGCUAAUACCGGAUGGUUGUUUGAACCGCAUGGUUCAAACAUAAAAGGUGGCUUCGGCUACCACUUACAGAUGGACCCGCGGCGCAUUAGCUAGUUGGUGAGGUAACGGCUCACCAAGGCGACGAUGCGUAGCCGACCUGAGAGGGUGAUCGGCCACACUGGGACUGAGACACGGCCCAGACUCCUACGGGAGGCAGCAGUAGGGAAUCUUCCGCAAUGGACGAAAGUCUGACGGAGCAACGCCGCGUGAGUGAUGAAGGUUUUCGGAUCGUAAAGCUCUGUUGUUAGGGAAGAACAAGUACCGUUCGAAUAGGGCGGUACCUUGACGGUACCUAACCAGAAAGCCACGGCUAACUACGUGCCAGCAGCCGCGGUAAUACGUAGGUGGCAAGCGUUGUCCGGAAUUAUUGGGCGUAAAGGGCUCGCAGGCGGUUUCUUAAGUCUGAUGUGAAAGCCCCCGGCUCAACCGGGGAGGGUCAUUGGAAACUGGGGAACUUGAGUGCAGAAGAGGAGAGUGGAAUUCCACGUGUAGCGGUGAAAUGCGUAGAGAUGUGGAGGAACACCAGUGGCGAAGGCGACUCUCUGGUCUGUAAC
rnacentral:rRNA from 1 species